rnacentral:rRNA from 1 species
GCCUACAGCCAUGCCACCCUGAACAAGCCCGAUCCCAUCUGAUCUUGGAAGCUAAACCUGGUUAGUACUUGGAUGGGAGACCGCCUAGGAAGACCAGGUGCUGUAGGCG